GAGUUUGAUCUUGGCUCAGAACGAACGCUGGCGGCAGGCUUAACACAUGCAAGUCGUACGAGAACGUCUCGCUUCGGCGAGGCUAGUAAAGUGGCGCACGGGUGAGUAACGCGUGGGUAAUCUACCCUUGGGUACGGAUAACGUCUCGAAAGGGGCGCUAAUACCGUAUAAGACCACAGCAACCCCGGUUGCAGAGGUAAAGCGGGCCUCUACAUGUAAGCUCGCGCCUGAGGAUGGGCCCGCGUCCCAUUAGCUUGUUGGUGAGGUAACGGCUCACCAAGGCCGCGAUGGGUAGCUGGUCUGAGAGGAUGAUCAGCCACACUGGGACUGGAACACGGCCCAGACUCCUACGGGAGGCAGCAGUGAGGAAUCCUGCGCAAUGGGGGAAACCCUGACGCAGCCAUGCCGCGUGGGUGAAGAAGGCCUUC
rnacentral:rRNA from 1 species